rnacentral:rRNA from 1 species
CCUACGGGAGGCAGCAGUGAGGAAUAUUGGUCAAUGGCCGGGAGGCUGAACCAGCCAAGUCGCGUGAGGGAAGACGGCCCUACGGGUUGUAAACCUCUUUUGUCAGGGAGCAAGGUGCAGGUCGGGACCUGCUGUGAGAGUACCUGAAGAAAAAGCAUCGGCAAACUCCGUGCCAGCAGCCGCGGUAAUACGGAGGAUGCGAGCGUUAUCCGGAUUUAUUGGGUUUAAAGGGUGCGCAGGGGGAGGCACAGGUCAGCGGUAAAAGCGCGGGGCUCAACCCCGCUCCGCCGUUGAAACUGUGAGCCUUGAGUGCGGGAAGGGUAGGCGGAAUGCGUGGUGUAGCGGUGAAAUGCGUAGAUAUCACGAAGAACUCCGGUCGCGAAGGCAGCCUACCGGCGCGCAACUGACGCUGAUGCACGAAAGCGUGGGUAUCGAACAGGAUUAGAUACCCCUGUAGUC